GGACAGAGACAAACUGGGGACAAACGAGAGACACAAGAGAGGGGAACACAGCAGGAAAAAAUGGGAGAGAGGGAGAGGCACAGCAUAACCGUGACAUGUUUACUAUAUCUUGAUAUUGUUUCUGUGCUUUGCCUGUUUUCAAACGCUUAAAAGCAUUGUGUUUUUCCAUGUCAAAAGAAUAGUGAUUCACAAUGUAACAAAACAGGUAUUUUUAGUCUGUACCACCAGUUAGCUACAGAGACUACAGAACACAAGACUAAGCCAAGAGCAACUGCAAUUGUUUUGAAACCUGCCAAGCCUGAUGAGCGCACUGUGAUUGUUUCUUCUUUGAAAGCACACAGAAAGUUUGUAUCCCACCAUUCUUCAUAGCCUGGGAUAACAGCAGCCCCACUGCUUCCUUAAGGUGUCGAGAUAAUACUGCAAAAACUGCCUGGAGGGAUCUGGCUGUAUCAAGACAGCAGCGGAGAAGAAAAGAGUCUAUAAUUUGUUGAAAGCAGCCUCAGCUUCAGGGGGCCAAGAGGGAGGAAUGGAAGAGGAGGUCCAUCUUCACCUGUCCGCCCUCGAUGAUGUUCUCAUCGUGCUGGAAUGGAUUUCACAGUUCUCUGCUUUAACAAACAACUUAUUCUCAAGGAGUCCUUGUAGAACCUAACAGCCAUGAGAGACGUGUUCAGACUGGGUUUUGGAGAAGAAGAGAAUGUCAUCAGGAUAGACAAAGACAAAAUGAUUGAGAAAGUCUCUUAACACAUCAUUCAUCAUAGCCUGGAAGCUGGGUCAGUAGUGUGGGACUCUCCAGGAAGAGGUGGAGCUGGAGCUGUGGCAGGUCGAUUGGUCCGAGGAGGCUGAACUUUGGAGACUGAGGGAGUGGGCAGAGGCCGUCACAGAACCUCAGCUGCCCAGCCGCACAGAGCCUCAGCUGCCCAGCACUACAGAGGCUUCGCUGUCUACUGCCACGAUCAACGUUCCCCCAGCCAGACCCUGAGUUGUCCUGUCUGUUCCUGAGUCUGUUCCUGAGUCAGACAUCCCUUCCGACAUCCUGUCUGUUCCUGAGUCGAGGGUCCCAGCCGACACCAAGCCUGUUCCUGAGUUUGCCGGCGGCAACCCAGUGGACAUCUGUUCCUGGUUGUCAGCCUGGCCAACAUCUGUUCCUGGUUUUCAGUUGGCGGUCCAGCUGACAUCUGUUUCUGGUUUCUAGUGAGAAACGCCUUCGCCUGUCUGCCUGGCCUCUGGACCCUCCUCCUAAGUACUGCUGCCUGUCUGUCAGGCCUUCAGGCCCUACGCCUGACGUCCCCUGCUCCAUUCUUGGCCUGCCCCAUGGGCAGUCUCCUGCUACAGGUCAUGAAAUUGCCUCACAGUUUAUAACAAGCUUGGACACUGGUCAGAACUAAUGAUAAUAAUCAAUAUUUUUCCAUUAACAGUAAUUAUUAUAAUAUAGCUAGUGUAUGCAAAAUGUAAAAACUUUGGAAAAGUCUAAGAUGAUGACAGUAACAAACUGACUCAUUAAUAGGUUAUUUAAAAAAAACUCUUCACACAUGCCAAAUAUAUAAUUUUAACCAUUUUUUAAGUCAAAGACUGUAUUAUCACAAUGAUUAAUCUGAAAAUUGACAAAUAAAACAAUAUAAUAAACUUAGGCACCGCAGAAUGUUUGGCGUUUUGCUUGACAGUGACUUAAUAGAUUAUCAAAAUUGGUGACAGUUAUUUUGUUAAUUAUCAAUUGACUGUUAAUUGUUUCUGCACUAAUAUUCUGUAUAUGUUUAUGGAUACUCUAUGUAGUGUAUAUUUACUGUAAAUUCCAUUUACUCUACAUUUGUUUUAUAUAUUAUCUAUUCGGGCAUGCCUGUUUGGAUUUUGUCUGUUUAAUUACUCAGAAUCCAGCUGUGUUUUUCAAUAGAAUAUCUUGAAAGCAUCACUGUAACUGUCGUCAAUUCAUAGGGUUAAUGAUAGUUAUAUAAAAUAAAAUAAUCAGACAUUUAUAUUCAUAUGAUCAGCUGUAGUCCUACACAUCUGUACAAUAAACUUCCAUUCUUGUGCCUUACUAUAGGCCUAUCAUAAGUAAGACUAUUAUAAUAUUUGGACAUUAGUAUUUGCAUAAUUAUUUAAAGGGUACAGAAAGUGCUCCGAUUUACAUAUCGGAGCACUUUCAUAUAGCAUAUGGAACUGAAACUGAUCGGCUUUGACUUGAAUGGCUCACAGUGCAUGUUCUGUAGUAAGCAGCACUCAUGCUGAAAUAAACUCAGGAAAUUAGCGUUAUAACCUUGGAUACACAGUAUACAUCCACGGUAAUAACACAGUAUCCAUUGGUUAUAUCACACAAAAUAAAAAUAGACUAACGUAUUAUACCAAUGCCACCUAUCUGAUGAGCAUGGAAGUCCAUUCGUGGCUUUGGCAACAGUAUGAGUUACAAAAUAAUUCUAAAUCCUCCCCACACUAUAGGUCACAGGUCACAUAAGGUUACAGGUCACAUCAGAGCCAGUUCCAUUUGUUGAUGAGGACCAUGAGACAUUGAUAAAGACUGAAAAAGCUCGAUCUAUGUGUAGAUCUGUGAGUUUGGAUGAUUUUGUCACACAUGAUGCUUAGUGUCACAGAGGUGUUGAUUUCUAUGUUUGAAGUGUUGGUGUUUUUUGGUCAAAAUAGCAGUUGAAAGUUCCAAAAAACUAGUAA